rfam:Trichosporon asahii var. asahii CBS 8904 unplaced genomic scaffold scaffold00105, whole genome shotgun sequence.
GGGCGUGUAGCUCAGUUGGUAGAGCGCGUCAUUAGCACGACCGGGCAGCUGUUCAUCGCAGCUCCGGCGCAGUUACUUGACGAGGUCUUUGGUUCGAUUCCUAACUCGUCCA